AAAAGAUUAGUACUAAUAGUCAGGUGUACAAUUAGCUUGAAACUAAGAAGGGGGGUUCGAGUCCCCCAUCUUUUA
rnacentral:tRNA from 1 species